AACAACUUUUUAUUUUAUUUGUGUGAAUAUUUGUAAAAAUUUUUGGGUCUUGUUGGAAUAUUUCUCGUAAAAAAAUAAGAAAUAAAUAAAUAAAAAAAAAAAAACAUACAAAAAGACUGAUAAAGCUUGGAAUCUGAGCCUAAAAGUAAACACACAAUAUCCUAGUACUCAUUUCUACCAAAUUCUGCUCAAUCUUACUGUCAAGAUGUGUUGCGGACCUUGCGGUGGUUGCUGUGGCCCCUGUGGCGGUUGCUGCGGACCAUGCUACUCCUGCUGCGGACCCUGCUAUUCCUGCUGUGGCCCAUGCUACUCCUGCUGCGGACCCUGUGGCGGCUGCUGUGGUGGAUGUGGACCCUGUUGCUAGGUGGAAUCCAAAAUAGUUUGAAAGCUUCCAGUCUAGUAAAAAUUACGAGAAUGUCCCAACUAACCCAUAGUAAAUUUUUGUUAUCGUACAUAUAAAAUAAAACGGGUCAAUUUCAA
rnacentral:sRNA from 1 species